rnacentral:rRNA from 1 species
CCUACGGGAGGCUGCAGUGGGGGAUAUUGCACAAUGGGGGAAACCCUGAUGCAGCGACGCCGCGUGGGUGAAGAAGCGCCUCGGCGCGUAAAGCCCUGUCAGCAGGGAAGAAAAUGACGGUACCUGAAGAAGAAGCCACGGCUAACUCCGUGCAAGCAGGCGCGGUAAUACGUAGGGGGACAGCGUUAUCCGGAUUUACUGGGUGUAAAGGGGGCGCAGACGGCGAUGCAAGCCAGGCGUGAAAGCCCGGGGCCCACCCCCGGGACUGCUCUUGGAACUGCGUGGCUAGAGUGCAGGAGGGGCAGGCGGAAUUCCUGGUGUAGCGGUGAAAUGCGUAGAUAUCAGGAGGAACACCGGUGGCGAAGGCGGCCUGCUGGACUGCAACUGACGUUGAGCCCCGAAAGCGUGGGGAGCAAACAGGAUUAGAUACCCUGGUAGUC